rnacentral:piRNA from 1 species
GGCAUUGCUGAAGUUGUCGGGCUCU